rnacentral:rRNA from 1 species
UACGGAGGGUGCAAGCGUUGUUCGGAAUCACUGGGCGUAAAGCGCGUGUAGGCGGCCUCUUAAGUCUGGUGUGAAAGCCCGGGGCUCACCCCCGGAAGGGCACUGGAUACUGGGAGGCUAGAGUACCGGUGAGGAGGGUGGAAUUCCUGGUGUAGAGGUGAAAUGCGUAGAUAUCAGGAGGAACACCGGUGGCGAAGGCGGCCCUCUGGACGGCUACUGGCGCUGAGACGCGAAAGCGUGGGGAGCAAACAGG